ACUCAUUGGCCUCGGCUGCCGCGGUUGACGAAGCGACGCCGGACCGACGGGAGUGCCGAGAGCGGAACUGAAGAAUCUCAUCCUUCAAUUCGGCGGAUCGUAUCCAGAUGAUGAUGAUGAUGAUGAUGAUGAUCCAUCCGACCUUAGCCUUGGCAAUUGGAUAAAGAUCUUGUAAACAGUUGACACCGCCGGGCAUCCCCAUUUGCGCGCGGCGUGGAUGGGCGAAAUAAUGGAAUUCCGAAAGACGGCAGUGAAGUGGGAGCGAACAGAACGAAGAAAGAAUCGGAUAGCACAUAUCCUGGAAUGAAUCGAAAUUUGUCUCGGAAAUGAAAUGGGUCUGACGAUAGUUCAGCGGCGGUGGUGGCGUGAGCCCGAGAUGGCCCGGCCACAGAUAAAUCUGAUCCAGACAUGGAUAAGGACAGGAAAGCGACGACUUGAAUCAGAGUGGCUGCGACCCGAGUGUGGAAUCUGAUGGUGUCGUUCACUGUGGGAUGAUCUGAAUUGCUGGAGAUGAAUCAGGGGAAUCCAGAGCUACAGAGAGAGAGAGAGAGAGAGAGAGAGAGAGAGAGAGAAAAAAAAAAAAAAAAUCUGGUAGGAGAAAAAUUUGUCAAGUUUGCAAGGAAGGUGUUUGAUGGAAUGAUGAAGCCGAACUCUAUUUUCAAGGAUACCCAUUCGAGAGAAAGAGAGAGAGAGAGAGAGAGAGAGAGAGAGAGAGAGAGAGAGAGAGCAUGAUGUUGUUGAUUCUAAUAGGAAAAGCCACUGCCAGAGGCUUGGAUGCUGUGAUGUUGAGAGAAAGGCUGCGGAAAAGUUGUGACGCAGAAACGCCUUUACAUAGUUAUGCCACCGCAGCAAAAGAGAUGACUGUGAGAGAGGCUUUGAAUACUGCAUUGACGACGAAAUAUCUGCAGAUCCUAGAGUCUUUCUAAUGGGUGAGGAGGUCGGAGAAUACCAAGGUUUUUUCUCUUUUCUUUUUGGGCAGAAGCAUGGACCUUAGAGGGUUGUUGAUAUUGCAAUUACAGAGGUGAUUUUCUACGUUAUAAAUUCUCCUGCAAAGAUGAACUACAUGUUGGCUGGCAAUACAUCAGUCCUUAUAGUUUCAAGAGGAGUUGCAGCAGGAGUCAGUGCCCAUCAUUCCCAAGCCUCGUGAAGACAUAGCCGUCCCACCUGGAGGAAGCUUUUCUGGAUCCGGCCUCAUUAGAUCACUCGUCACCCUCAGGAUCUAUCAAACACAAGAAUGGCUCAUGGCGUGUGAAAUGAGAGUUGCCAUGAACGGUGUAACAUCUCUAGUAUGUCCCUCCAACAAAGUGCUUCCUCAUCCUCUGGUUUUUUUAGAUUGGCAGUCACUAAUUUAUUAAGGCAGUGUGUUUAGUUGCAUUAUUUGAAUGCGUUGUUGUCAAGGAGUGAAUAUUUUCCGUGGUCGCAAAUUUUAUCGGUGUUUACUCAAAGUCUCCUUUUCAGUUGAUAUUAAUAUUACGAUGGGAUCAACAUAAGCACAGAAAAAUUAGAUAAUACAUGGCACAUGUGUCCAUUAUAAGAUCGUUGACGCAGGAUGGGACCAUUGUAAUUACUCUACUUAACUCAGCUUGUAAUUUUUGGUUUUAGCCUCAGAAAGUUUCACAUCUACUUCUUUUGUUUGAAAGGGUAAGCAACCAUUCACAAAUUCUGGACAUGCUUGUCUUGUUACAAAGUAGUAAUUGCUUUUGCUAUUCAAUGACACUCUUUGCCCUCAUAAACUUUGAUCGGUGACCUAUUGUUGAACUGCUAUUCUUUAAAUUAGUCCAUGAUUCAGUCAAUUCAAAUUCGAUUUAUUAAUUAUGUGCUCUGGUGUUCUAGGGAUUGAAUGAAUUUUUAUUUGGGUCUGCUUUGUUCGUGGUUAUUAGUAUCAAUAUCAUGUGUUGCUUCAUUCUGUAAUAAUGCAGUGUAGGAAAGUGGCAAACUCCUCAAGCUCACUACUAGGCAACAUUGUCAUUGAUGAUAGGCCAUUUGGGACAUUUGUUUCUCUUGUAUACAUGUAUCUAGUGACAUUAGAUUAACAUAAAGACUCUCUGGAAAUACAAAUCAUGGAGAUUUGAGGAAUGUGGAUUUUUAAGCUGCUUCUUAUGCGAAAUUGAGGUCUCAGAAUUUGACAUUUGUUGAUUCACUUUCAACUGAGGCUAGAUUCAAUGCAUUUAUCAUUGUUUUUCCUUCUCUUAUUUUAAAUAGUGAUGAUGUUGCUGUAGGAUACACCAUCAAGGUUGCUACUAAACCGAAGUAUCAAAUCAAAUCAGUUGCACGAGAAUUGUUUUAUAACUCUUUCCAGUGGCUUCACACACAAACCAUAGUGGUUCCUGAUCUUAUGUCUAGGCUUGGAUUAUUUUAUCCAAUUUGAUGCAGAAUCUGUAACUCUUGAAUUAUUCUGCCACCCAUCAAGGAACGUAUCCAUCGUGGAAAUGAAAUCUCGUAGGAUUUUCACAUUUUCAUCAUCAUUUCUCGAUAUGUAAACUAUGUAUAUUUAGAUAUGUUAAGUGAUGCAAUCACUUUUGGAGCUAGCUUUAGAACGAAUCAUGUGAUACUUUAGCCUUUCAAAUUCCUGGUUAAGCUCUUUCCAGUUCAACUUGGUGACCAUUGAGUUGUCUUCCACACCGAUUGGUUUUAAUAUAUAUAUAUCAUCAAGUGCUAAGUUCCACAACAACUAUAGAGAAAAAAUAAUGAUCAAAGGACUCCACUUAAAUGAGCUUUCACUACUCACUUCUCUCUUGACCUUAUGCCUCAUUUUGGCCCAUUCUUUCUGGUAGUAAGUGAUUUGAUGAUUAAUGUUUACGUAGUUUCGUUCAUUUGUUCACUAGUUAAUGGAGCAUCUGUUGUUUUAGAAAAUUUUGAUUGAACAUCUCUGUUUGUGGCUGUUCAAGUGUAGGAUGGAAAUAGACUGUUUGACUGCUUUAGUAAUGUAUAUCCUUUAAAUUUGAUACCUUGUCUUUUCUGGUUCGAAUGGAAUAGUGUGGCAGUUUCACUUCUCUUGGAUUGGCUUCCCCUCGACGGUGUCCGUCAAUGUGGUAUUUGGUGGGAAUUUAGUUACUAUUUUCAUGAUUGUCAUGCUAGGCAUUACAAACAGGAACAAAAUGAGAACUUGUGGAGUAUAUUUUUGUUCUCCAUGAAUCUCUUCAACCAGGAGGUUGUAUCAUAUAAUGUUGUUUAUGUAUAUGCUGUUGUGGGGUUCGAUUGCUGAUGUAGUCAGAUCAGAAUCAUGACAAACUGGGAGGUUCACCGAUCCACCAAAUGUUUUAACUGUAUGCGUUAGGCAUAUAGCUCAUGUGCACACAUGGGUUCUUUACCUCCCCUAAUAUGGCAUUGUGGAAGUUAUUAAUGUGUUUUGACCAGUUUGAUAGGAACCAAAUCACAGAGGCGAGGCAUGUUCUACUCAGCUAAGCUAAUCAUUCAACCUUACUGUCCAUCCGAGGCAUGUUUGGGAAAGCAGUUUUCUAUGUGCUUCCAAUCCUCAGAGCAAAGUCUUUCAUUUCUAGACAUAGCUUUCCUGCUGAACGCUACAUAUUAUGGAGGCUUGAUUAUGUAUCCUUUAUGGCUUUUCAGAUUUUCUCAGUUUGCAGUCUAAGUGAGCUUCUUAGAUAUGUUGGUUUUACCUCAUUCAAUAAUGUUGCAUUUCCUAGAUAUGUCUUCUAUAGUUCUCUUCCUUCUACUUUACAGGCAUAACAACGCUGGCCUUGAAGUGCCCUUGUGGUUCCUUGUAUAUUUUAAGGAUGUCUCUUUCAUAUGUAGUUUUUGGAUUGCUUUUGAGGAAGUACUUAGUGUACUAACAAUGUAGGUAUGAUGUGAAUUAUACAAAUAUCACCAGCAAGAGUGACCACCCUAAGGGCUAUCAUUUUCUUCGUGCUCACAGGUCUAUUCUUGCUCAGUUUCAAACACUCUUAAUUGAGAAACUGUUUUCUAUGUGCUUCCAAUCCUCAGAGCAAAGUCUUUCAUUUCUAGACAUAGCUUUCCUGCUGAACGCUACAUAUUAUGGAGGCUUGAUUAUGUAUCCUUUAUGGCUUUUCAGAUUUUCUCAGUUUGCAGUCUGAGUGAGCUUCUUAGCUAUGUUGGUUUUACCUCAUUCAAUAAUGCUGCAUUUCCUAGAUAUGUCUUCUAUAGUUCUCUUCCUUAUGCUUUACAGGCAUAACAACACUGGCCUUGAAGUGCCCCUGUGGUUCAUUGUAUAUUUUAAGGAUGUCUCUUUCAUAUGUAGUUUUUGGAUUGCUUUUGAGGAAGUACUUAGUGUACUAACAAUGUAGGUAUGACGUGAAUUAUACAAAUAUCACUAGCAAGAGUGACCACC